GACGAACGCUGGCGGCGUGCUUAACACAUGCAAGUCGAACGAUGAACCCGGAGCUUGCUCCGGCGGAUUAGUGGCGAACGGGUGAGUAACACGUGAGUAACCUGCCCUUGACUCUGGGAUAACUGCUAGAAAUGGUAGCUAAUACCGGAUACGACCCUCGGUGGCAUCACCAGGGGGUGGCACGAAUUUCGGUCAAGGAUGGACUCGCGGCCUAUCAGCUAGUUGGUGCGGUAACGGCUCACCAAGGCGACGGCGGGUGGCCGGCCCGAGAGGGUGAGCGGCCACACUGGGACUGAGACACGGCCCAGACUCCUACGGGAGGCAGCAGUGGGGCAUAUUGCACAAUGGGCGCAAGCCUGAUGCAGCAACGCCGCGUGAGGGAUGACGGCCUUCGGGUUGUAAACCUCUUUUAGUAGGGAAGAAGCGAAAGUGACGGUACCUGCAGAAAAAGCACCGGCUAACUACGUGCCAGCCGCCGCAGUAA
rnacentral:rRNA from 1 species